UACGGAGGGUGCAAGCGUUGUUCGGAAUUACUGGGCGUAAAGGGCGCGUAGGCGGCUCAAUAAGUCUGUUGUGAAAUCCCGGGGCUUAACUCCGGACGUGCAGUGGAAACUAUUGGGCUUGAGUGUAGUAGAGGUUGGUGGAAUUCCCAGUGUAGAGGUGAAAUUCGUAGAUAUUGGGAGGAACACCGGUGGCGAAGGCGGCCAACUGGGCUACAACUGACGCUGAGGCGCGAAAGCGUGGGGAUCAAACAGG
rnacentral:rRNA from 1 species